rnacentral:rRNA from 1 species
UACGAAGGGGGCGAGCGUUGUUUGGAUUUACUGGGCGUAAAGGGCGCGCAGGCGGCUCGUUUUGUCAGGCGUGAAAGCCCCGGGCUUAACCUGGGAACUGCGUUUGAUACGGACGGGCUAGAGUUCGGGAGAGGAGAGUGGAAUUCCCAGUGUAGAGGUGAAAUUCGUAGAUAUUGGGAAGAACACCGGUGGCGAAGGCGGCUCUCUGGACCGAGACUGACGCUGAGGCGCGAAAGCGUGGGGAGCAAACAGG